rnacentral:rRNA from 1 species
UGGAAGGGGUGUAUUUAUUAGAUUAAAAACCAAUGCCCUUCGGGGCUCUCUGGUGAUUCAUAAUCACUUCUCGAAUCGCACGGCCUUGCGCCGGCGAUGGUUCAUUCAAAUUUCUGCCCUAUCAACUUUCGACGGCUGGGUCUUGGCCAGCCGUGGUGACAACGGGUAACGGAGGGUUAGGGCUCGACCCCGGAGAAGGAGCCUGAGAAACGGCUACUACAUCCAAGGAAGGCAGCAGGCGCGCAAAUUACCCAAUCCCGACACGGGGAGGUAGUGACAAUAAAUACUGAUACAGGGCUCUUUCGGGUCUUGUAAUUGGAAUGAGUACAAUUUAAAUCCCUUAACGAGGAACAAUUGGAGGGCAAGUCUGGUGCCAGCAGCCGCGGUAAUUCCAGCUCCAAUAGCGUAUAUUAAAGUUGUUGAGGUUAAAAAGCUCGUAGUUGAACCUUGGGCCUAGCCGGCCGGUCCGCCUCACCGCGUGCACUGGCUCGGCUCGUCUUUCCUUCUGGAGAACCGCAUGCCCUUCACCGGGUUUACCGGGGAACCAGGACUUUUAC